GGGCCCGCACAAGCGGUGGAGCAUGUGGUUUAAUUCGAUGAUACGCGAGGAACCUUACCAGGGCUUAAAUGUAGUAUGACCGGUCUGGAACAGGCCUUCCCUUCGGGCAGAUUACAAGGUGCUGCAUGGUUGUCGUCAGCUCGUGCCGUGAGGUGUUAGGUUAAGUCCUGCAACGAGCGCAACCCCUAUUCUUAGUUGCCAGCGGUUCGGCCGGGGACUCUAAGAAGACUGCCAGCGCAAGCUGAGAGGAAGGUGGGGAUGACGUCAAAUCAUCACGGCCCUUACGUCCUGGGCUACACACGUGCUACAAUGGCCGGUACAGAGAGCAGCCACUUCGCAAGAAGGAG
rnacentral:rRNA from 1 species